rnacentral:rRNA from 1 species
CGUGUAGGCGGAUGGGGACGUCGGUUGCUGAAAUCCCCCGGCUCAACCGGGGAACGGGCGCCGAAACGCCCCGUCUGGAGGGGCGUAGGGGGACCUGGAACUUCCGGUGGAGCGGUGAAAUGCGUUGAGAUCGGAAGGAACGCCCGUGGCGAAAGCGAGGUCCUGGACGUUUUCUGACGCUGAGACGCGAAAGCUAGGGUAGCGAACGGGAUUAGAUACCCCGGUAGUCCUAGCUGUAAACGAUGGGCACUGGGUAGGGGGCUCGCCGAUGGGCUCUCUGCCGAAGGGAAACCGUGAAGUGCCCCGCCUGGGGAGUAUGGUCGCAAGGCUGAA